GCACUGUAUCAUCUUGAUGUAAUAAUGGAGAUUGUUGAGUUGUCUUUACCAAUACUUGAAUUCUGGAUUCAACUUACGCGUCUCCUCCUCUAAUAUUUAUGAAUCGUAGUAAAUUAAAAAGUGUGGCAGUGCUCCAUUGAAACUUAGUAUGUCGUAUAGACUACAAGUAGAGUGUGCAAUGAAGGGAAACUUCUCUAGGAAAGUCUAUGGAUAAUCAGGGGAGUAGAAGUAGGAGAUGUAAUAGUUUUAGAUCAAUAUACACUUACAAAUUAUACAUGUAACAAGGCAGUUGCCAAAUAACAUAGGACAUGAAGAUGAUGAAGAGUAUCCAGGUAUGACAACCAUAUCUUUGCACUUUUCUGUUAUUAUUGAAGAAGAAUCUAUAUUGACAAACAUAGAUGUAUGUAUUAAUAAUCCAUCCCUAUUAAUUGAUUUAACUAUUACUUUUCUUAGAUGUGGAUGUUGAAUGUGAUGAAAUUUACACUGAAGAUACUUAUCAGAUACUCCUUAUUCACUCAACAUAGUUGGAUAAAAUAAGUCAUUAAUCUAUGUCUUUGACUUUAUAUAUUAUUGUAAGUAUAUAUUACUAGGACAAAGGAGAUGCUACAUAUGAAUGCGAAAAGUGCGGUGCUCUUUUUGGUAUGAAGAAAGAAUCUGCAAGCAUUACAACUCAAAAAAGUCUAUUUUCACAAUGUGUUGUGAUCGUGGAAAAAUAAAGCUUCCAGAUCUUAAGAAGCCUCCUGAAGUUCUGAAAUAACUUUUAUUUGGAUCAGGUUAGAGGAAUUAUAACUUUUAUUUGGAUCAGGUUAGAGGAAUUAUAACUUUUAAUAUCAACAUGUUCAUAUCAUCUUAUAUUCACAUUUAUCAUUUUGCAAUGGUUUUAAUAUAGGUCCUAAAAGUAGC
rnacentral:lncRNA from 1 species